AUUACAGUUUCACUACUUUUUGUUGCUUCAUGCUCAAUUCCAUUUUUUUUUGGAGUUUUGUUUCCGAUAUCAUCACUUUUAGAGCCAGCCCUUGCUCUUUUUUUUAUAGACAUACUUGUGUAAAAUCAAAAUGCAAGUCCAAGGAAUUUUUCAAAGUUCGCUAGGAAACAUAGUGAAGUAGUUUAAGCCUCUGCUAAAACAGUUUGACGAUA